rnacentral:rRNA from 1 species
GAUGAACGCUGGCGGCAUGCUUUACACAUGCAAGUCGGACGGGAAGUGGUGUUUCCAGUGGCGGCCGGGUGAGUAACGCGUAAGAACCUGCCCUUGGGCUGGGAACAACAGCUGGAAACGGCCACUAAUACCCCGUAGGCUGAGGAGCGAAAGGUGGAAUCCGCCCAAGGAGGGGCUCGCGUCUGAGUAGCUAGUUGGUGAUGUAAUAGCUUACCGAGGCUGUGAUCAGUAGCUGGUACGAGAGGAUGAGCAGCCACACUGGGACUGAGAGGAGGCGCAGACUCCGGCGGGAGGCAGCGGGGAGGAAUGUACCGCGAGGGGCGGAAGCAUGACGGAGCGAUGCGGGGGGGAGGUAGACGGCCGAGGGGUAAUGAGCUUCUGUUUCUGACGAAGAGACAGUGACGGUAACUGGUGAAUAAGCACCGGCUAACUCUGUG